rnacentral:lncRNA from 1 species
CGAAGUAAGUGGACAGUAGAGAGUUUUAUUAUUGAUAAAUGAGUUUGUUAUAAAUUAUGCUCCAUUGGUCGUUUUUGUUUUCUACCAACCUUUACUUCUGUGACAGUGAGAUAGUGCGAUGUCUUUACUGGGCUAGUGUAGGUCAUUCCUUACUUAACCAUUUCAGAUCAGUAGGGCUUGGUUCCUGAGCCCGUUCUGCAGGAAGACGACGAGUAGAAGCCAAAGAAUUU